CCUACGGGAGGCAGCAGUGAGGAAUAUUGGUCAAUGGACGAGAGUCUGAACCAGCCAAGUAGCGUGAAGGAUGAAUGCCCUAUGGGUUGUAAACUUCUUUUAUAUGGGAAUAAAACGUUCCACGUGUGGGAUUUUGUAUGUACCAUAUGAAUAAGGAUCGGCUAACUCCGUGCCAGCAGCCGCGGUAAUACGGAGGAUCCGAGCGUUAUCCGGAUUUAUUGGGUUUAAAGGGAGCGUAGGUGGAUUGUUAAGUCAGUUGUGAAAGUUUUCGGAUCAACCGUAAAAUUGCAGUUGAAACUGGCAGUCUUGAGUACAGUAGAGGUGGGCGGAAUUCGUGGUGUAGCGGUGAAAUGCUUAGAUAUCACGAAGAACUCCGAUUGCGAAGGCAGUUCACUGGACUGCAACUGACACUGAGGCUCGAAAGUGUGGGUAUCAAACAGGAUGAGAUACCCUAGUAGUC
rnacentral:rRNA from 1 species